CUAUUUAGCUCUUGCUAACCAAUACAAAACCAAAAGCUUCAAUCCUUCAUCAUCACAAAUAGCAUGGUAGCACCUCGGAACGAAACAUUGGCCUGAUGAAGCCCUUAUCUAACAACUCCUAUAAUUAUUCCUUCCAUCCCUUAAGCUCAGUUGGAAUCAUUUUGUUUGAAGCCUAAGCAAUUGGGUCAUGACCAGGAACCAGCUCAAGUACACACACACACACACACACACACAC
rnacentral:lncRNA from 1 species